rnacentral:rRNA from 1 species
AAAUUGAAGAGUUUGAUCAUGGCUCAGAUUGAACGCUGGCGGCAGGCCUAACACAUGCAAGUCGAGCGGAAACGAGUUAUCUGAACCUUCGGGGAACGAUAAUGGCGUCGAGCGGCGGACGGGUGAGUAAUGCCUAGGAAAUUGCCCUGAUGUGGGGGAUAACCAUUGGAAACGAUGGCUAAUACCGCAUGAUGCCUACGGGCCAAAGAGGGGGACCUUCGGGCCUCUCGCGUCAGGAUAUGCCUAGGUGGGAUUAGCUAGUUGGUGAGGUAAGGGCUCACCAAGGCGACGAUCCCUAGCUGGUCUGAGAGGAUGAUCAGCCACACUGGAACUGAGACACGGUCCAGACUCCUACGGGAGGCAGCAGUGGGGAAUAUUGCACAAUGGGCGCAAGCCUGAUGCAGCCAUGCCGCGUGUGUGAAGAAGGCCUUCGGGUUGUAAAGCACUUUCAGUCGUGAGGAAGGUGGUGUAGUUAAUAGCUGCAUUAUUUGACGUUAGCGACAGAAGAAGCACCGGCUAACUCCGUGCCAGCAGCCGCGGUAAUACGGAGGGUGCGAGCGUUAAUCGGAAUUACUGGGCGUAAAGCGCAUGCAGGUGGUUUGUUAAGUCAGAUGUGAAAGCCCGGGGCUCAACCUCGGAAUUGCAUUUGAAACUGGCAGACUAGAGUACUGUAGAGGGGGGUAGAAUUUCAGGUGUAGCGGUGAAAUGCGUAGAGAUCUGAAGGAAUACCGGUGGCGAAGGCGGCCCCCUGGACAGAUACUGACACUCAGAUGCGAAAGCGUGGGGAGCAAACAGGAUUAGAUACCCUGGUAGUCCACGCCGUAAACGAUGUCUACUUGGAGGUUGUGGCCUUGAGCCGUGGCUUUCGGAGCUAACGCGUUAAGUAGACCGCCUGGGGAGUACGGUCGCAAGAUUAAAACUCAAAUGAAUUGACGGGGGCCCGCACAAGCGGUGGAGCAUGUGGUUUAAUUCGAUGCAACGCGAAGAACCUUACCUACUCUUGACAUCCUCAGAAGCUUGUAGAGAUACGAGUGUGCCUUCGGGAACUGAGAGACAGGUGCUGCAUGGCUGUCGUCAGCUCGUGUUGUGAAAUGUUGGGUUAAGUCCCGCAACGAGCGCAACCCUUAUCCUUGUUUGCCAGCGAGUAAUGUCGGGAACUCCAGGGAGACUGCCGGUGAUAAACCGGAGGAAGGUGGGGACGACGUCAAGUCAUCAUGGCCCUUACGAGUAGGGCUACACACGUGCUACAAUGGCGCAUACAGAGGGCGGCCAACUUGCGAAAGUGAGCGAAUCCCAAAAAGUGCGUCGUAGUCCGGAUUGGAGUCUGCAACUCGACUCCAUGAAGUCGGAAUCGCUAGUAAUCGUGGAUCAGAAUGCCACGGUGAAUACGUUCCCGGGCCUUGUACACACCGCCCGUCACACCAUGGGAGUGGGCUGCAAAAGAAGUAGGUAGUUUAACCUUCGGGGGGACGCUUACCACUUUGUGGUUCAUGACUGGGGUGAAGUCGUAACAAGGUAGCGCUAGGGGAACCUGGCGCUGGAUCACCUCCUUAUACGAUGAU